rnacentral:rRNA from 1 species
UACGUAGGCAGCGAGCGUUGUCCGGAUUCAUUGGGCGUAAAGCGCGCGUAGGCGGCUCGGAAAGUCGGUCGUGAAAUGCCGGGGCUCAACCCCGGGACUGCGUCCGAUACUUCCGGGCUGGAGGUAGGUAGGGGAGAUCGGAAUUCCUGGUGUAGCGGUGAAAUGCGCAGAUAUCAGGAGGAACACCAAUUGCGAAGGCAGCUCGCUGGGACGUUACUGACGCUGAGACGCGAAAGCGUGGGGAGCAAACAGG